ACAUCGGGAGUUGCGGGUGCGAGUGCGUUCAUUCGAAAUGAGUAGUAUUUAGUUAUGUACGCGUUAUUUUGCAUACGAGAGACGCGGAACAAUAAGGAUGAGGUAAUUUACGACGAAUGUUGAGAGAUUAAAGAAGGAGGUACGGUGUCUUUUUGUCGAUUUGUUAUGAUGCUUUUUUAAGAUUAAAAUACGCGUCAAUUAAUUAGCAGGCGAAUAAAUAUUGCGUUUUUAUGUUUCGCGUGUGAAAUAUCUUGUAUUUCAUGAUGGACGUUUUGAUUUCUCGGGUUCGUUUUCGGUAUUCGUGACUCGUCAUAAGAUAUUGUGUUGCAAAUGUACACAUACCAUUAAUGUAAAAUUCUAGUAAAUGUCGGAAGUGAUUUUCGUGAUCGUAUUCGUAAUCGUGUGAGUGUUUGUAUCAACUUGAGUUAUGCAUAAGUUGCAUAAAAGAAGUUACGAACCAUUGAAAUUAAUUGAACAAUUGGGCACUUCGAUGGACAAUUGGACAAUUGCAAUGUUUGUCGGAGCAGGACAUUGAAGGAAUAAUGUCAUUAAUGAGGAGAAUGUCGUUACGUCGACGGCAAUUUCCUCGCCAGGU